GGCCAUUUCUUACUUUUACUGUGUAGAAACCAAGCUUGCCCAGACAGACCUGCAGAUCUCUGAGUUCAAGGCCAGCCUGGUCCACAGCCACAGUUCCAGGACGGCCAGGGCUACACAGAGAAACCCCGUCUUGAAGCCACCCCCCUCCCAAGGAAAAGAACCCCAAACAACAACAAACCAAAAAAAGGUCCCUUCCCUCCAUUCUCUGCUAAACUCAAGUCUGUGGUCCUGAAAGUGCCUCACAGUUGUGUCUGCUUGGACUUUUUAGAAGACCCACUAUUCUCGUCUUUCCGCAACUUCUAGUGGUGAGACUGGGAAAUCAACCUGGCCACAAAACCUCUGACCUACAAUCUGUCCGACCCGCAAGAUGCCGGGGCAGUGGCGAUGCAGGAUUUGUGGGAGUGCUGUAAUUUGAGGCCGGUGCCAGCAAUGAGAGGGAGCCUACACCUGAUACUGCCCGGAUGACCAGGAACUGGAGGCCGGAUUGUCCAGAG
rnacentral:lncRNA from 1 species